CAAGAAUCUUAGGAGAGAGAGAGAAAGAUAAGGGAGCUGCAGGUUCACAUAGUCACCCAGUACCUGCGCUACUAUUACUUUAGUAAUAUUGCAACAUUAAACUCAUCACGAACUCUCACCCUAUAAACCUAUACCUGAGCCAUCAAUACCAUCACUAUACUCUGCUUGUGGAAAGGUGCAAUGGCAGUUCAAAGAAAAACCCAUCUCUUUUUCUUGUCCUCACUGUUCCUUUCUUUAUCUUCAAUCUGCUCCCCCAUUUGUGCUUUCACCAAAGAACAAGAGCUAGAUCGAAUCUCAGCUCUUCCUGGCCAACCAAAAGUCACAUUUUCACAGUUUUCUGGUUAUAUCACCGUCAAUGAGGAACAUGGGCGUGCAUUAUUCUACUGGUUCAUAGAAGCUACUUCAAUUCCUUACAAGAAACCUCUUGUUCUUUGGCUCAAUGGAGGACCAGGUUGUUCCUCAGUGGCAUAUGGAGCUUCAGAGGAAAUUGGACCAUUUCGGAUUGACAGAACUGGUUCAUCUCUUUAUUUAAAUAAGUAUUCAUGGAACACAGAAGCAAAUAUUCUCUUCUUGGAGUCACCUGCUGGUGUGGGAUUCUCAUACACAAAUACAAGCUCUGAUCUGAUUGAUUCUGGUGAUAAAAGAACAGCUGAGGAUGCUCUAGUUUUUCUCAUCAGAUGGUUUUCAAGAUUUCCUCAAUACAAAUAUAGAGAUUUCUACAUUGCUGGAGAAAGUUAUGCAGGUCAUUAUGUUCCUCAACUGGCAAAGAAAAUCCAUGAUUAUUAUAAAGAGGAUUCACAUCCCAUUAUCAAUCUCAAAGGAUUCAUUGUGGGAAAUGCUGUGACAGAUAACUACCACGAUGGUAUUGGAACUGUUACAUUCUGGUGGAGCCAUUCAAUGAUAUCAGACACAACAUAUCGAUCAAUUCUUAACAACUGCAACUUCAAAGAUGAUAAUAAAACAUCAAAAGAAUGUGAUGAUUCUGUGAAUUAUGCCAUAAACCAUGAAUUUGGCUAUAUUGAUCAGUACAGCAUUUAUACACCAGCUUGUAUACAGCUGCAAAAUGUUACUAAUGUAAGGUUUUUAAGACUGAAAAAUACCCUUUUGCGACGAAGGGUUUCUGGUUAUGAUCCUUGCACUGAGCAUUAUGCAGAGAAAUACUAUAACAGAGCUGAUGUGCAGAAGGCAAUGCACGCAAAUGUUACAGGAAUUCCUUACAAAUGGACUGCUUGCAGGUAUUCUUUGUAUACAUAUAUCUUUGUAUAUAUAUUAAUAUUUGAUGCUAUGAUAAGAAAUAAGAAAAUCUUUUCACUGGCCAGUGAUGUGCUGAUCAAGAACUGGAAGGAUUCUGAAUCAUCUAUGCUACCUAUAUACAAGGAGCUAAUGGCAGCUGGUCUAAGAAUCUGGGUUUUCAGGUAAUUUCUAAGCAAAUAUGUUCUAUAUAUAGUACCAAUAUUGCCAUUCAAUAAUAACAUCAAUAAAUUGAUGCUGAAAAUAAUAUAACUUAUCAUUUAUUAAUCAUGUUACUAAUAAUCAGCCAAAAGAAACAAACAUAAUUGUUUCAAGGAAACAAAAGUUAGGUCUAGGCGAGGUAAACUCAACUAAAAUAUAAAAAUAUAUUUCUAAAAUUUGAAAGACAAACUAAAAUAUAAAAAAAAAAUAAAAGAUUUUAAUAAUUUACUUUAAAAUUUCGUUUUAUAAUAUAAUUUCUAAAUUAACAUCAUAAUCAACUAGUGAAUCAAUAUCUUAAUUAUUAGGUAAUUAAACAUCCAGUACCCUGUAUUGAACAGUCCUGCAGGAGCAGAGCAGGACAUAAGUCGUCUAUUUUACAGGGAAUUCUGUGAACAUGUCCUAUCAAAUAAAUGAGCAUGAGUUGGUUUCUUCUUCCUUCUUUUUCAUUGUAAUUUCUAACAUUGUUCUGCCAUUGUAAUUUAAAGGUAGAUGGAGUGUUUGACCUUCUAUGUUGCCUGUGGCCUGGCCGUUUGACCACAGAUCGGAAUCAUUUUCUUACUGUGUUUUCAACUUUGUUGGUUGCUGGAAUAGAAGAUGCAUUAAAGAAUUGAAAUGACCCAAAUGAAUAGUGCAAAUAAUAAAUUUCUGUAUUUUAUAUGCUAAUAACCCUCCAAAAAAAUACUGCACUUGACAAAAAAAAUUUAUAAAUCAAUAUAAUAGAAAAUGCAAAUUAAUAAACAGGGGAAAAAAUCAUUUUAAACCAAAGAGACCAUAUAUGUUGAAGUGAAUUACUCGUCCAUAAUAAUAGGAAAAGUGUAAUCAUACUGCUUCUCCAUGCAGUGGUGACACAGACUCGGUGGUUCCUGUGACUGCCACUAGGUUUUCCCUGAACCACCUCAAUCUCACCGUCAAAACUCGGUGGUAUCCUUGGUACUUAGACAACCAGGUUGGAGGAUGGUCAGAAGUUUACAAUGGGCUAACCUUUGCAACAGUGAGAGGAGCCGGCCAUGAAGUACCACUAUUUCAACCAAAGAGAGCUUUCAUUCUUUUCAGAUCAUUCUUGGCAGGGAAAGAAUUGCCAAAAUCAUAACAUUGGCAUAUUAUUCACCAUUCAGAAACAAACAUGAAACAACAAAAAGAUUUGAGAGUAAAUUGAUUUUUGCUUUAACAAGGUUUCUGGAGCAAUCCAUAAAACCAUGCCCCACCAUAAAAAUGAUGGGUUAAGCAAUUCAUUCAAAGUACAAUUCAUAUUUCUAAGACAA
rnacentral:misc_RNA from 1 species